rnacentral:lncRNA from 1 species
CUUGGGAGGAAUAUCUGAAGGUAGAUAGAUUUCUAAGGGGAGAACCGAUUAUGCCAUCCCAAAUAUUUUCUAGUAGGGACUAGUGGCCGUCAGGGAGAUUUCUCCAUGUGGACAUCAUUGAGGACUUCACGGUCAUCUAGGGGAUUUCUCCAUGUGGACGUUAUUGAGGGCUUCACCGAGCAAAGUCCAAGUUUGCUUGGAUGCAU